UGUGACAUUUAAAUUUCAUAUAAAGGUCAAUGGAGAGUGUCGUGAAAUGUCUGUGCUUUGUGACCAAGCAGCAAAUAUAGGUGUAUUUAAUGCUAACUAUAAUGGAUUCAAUAGAGUUCGCUUUAUUGAAGUGGUCUACAAUAAAUACGUUAUUUUUCAGCUCUAUAAUUUCAAAAAUGAGCAAGCAUUCCAGAUGAUGAAACUCAUGGGUAGAGUAUAUUUAUUCUCACACUCAUCUGAGAACAAUGUAGUUCCCCCAAUCUUGUCCAGGGAUAUCAUUCCUCUCUGAAGAGAGGCGCUCACUUGGGUAAUCCCUCAGGCUCAGUGAUGAGAAGAUGGUGAAAUUUCUCAUCAUGCCAGAGGACA